rnacentral:tRNA from 1 species
AAGGAGAAUUUAAUUGAAGCUGCUAACUUUAAUUUGGGGGUGUAAAUCCUCCUCUUCUUU